GUACGACGACAAUCAGCUUUAUAUAAACAUCGCGCGGCACCUUGCACGAUACUUCCGAUGUCGUCGAUGUCGACCGACGCGGAGUUUAUUAGCGCCAUUAGCAAUCAGUGUGGUCAUCUUUACGAACAACUAGCGCGACCGCUUAGUAACUAGGCGCAUACUUAAUAGGUCGCGCUAGUCGCGUGAGGAUGACCACACUGAUUGCUAAUGGCGUAAACGGUGUAAAUAAACUGCGCGUCGGUCGACAUCGGAAGUAUCGUGCAAGGUGCUGCGCGAUGUUUAUUAUAAAGCCGAUUGUCGUCGUGCUCACCAUUGUACCGGCAAUCUGUUGUUAGCUCACGAGUAUCGUGAGAAUCCGUUCGACCGAAAUUCAUCGCGAGAGCGACGGCGUCAGUUAACCGUCGGCAGUCGGUCAAUCGCAUUUUUCGAUUCACAGCUAUUUGUUUUCGGUCUCAAUUCAUACGUAUAUCAGAGUACGUGAGAACGCGGAGAUAAUCGCCUAAAGUCGCGCGUGUGAUAUGCGUUAGCAACGGAUGCGGCCAACUAGCCCAACGGAACAACGAUUAUGUAUCGCGUGAAGGUGUUUGCGCGUCUCCAUCGUUCGAGAGUCGUUCGUUGGCAAACGUCAUGCCGUCGGGUACCGAGUGACGCGAAUCGUAGCUCGCUUGCCGUUUCGGGUUGUUGAGGCAUAAUAAAUUGCGCAUCACGCACAUCGAAAGUGUCGUGCAAGUGCAAGGUGCCAUGUGAUCUUCAUAUCAGAUAGUUAGGUUACCACCGUACUCCCAAGUGCACCGGGCGGGCGCUUGUUAUGUAGAUUGCGAAUUUCGUGAGACACCGUUCGACCGAAGCUCGUCACGCUAGCGACGGCGUCAGUGAUCCAUCGCCCGUCGGUCGAUCGCAUAUUUCAAUCCGUGGAUGUUUGUUUUCGGUCGCAAUUCGUAUGUUUAGCAGCGCAUGUGAUGAACGCGGACAUAAUAAUCGUCCGGAGACGCGUGUGUUGUGUGUAGCAACAGCCGCGACCAACCGAAAGGUUAUGUUGCACCGCGCGACGCGGCGUGAAAGUGAUCGCGCGAUUUUCUGGUGCUCGAAAUUCGUCAUCUACCAUGUUAACUUCCCCGACAGCGGCGUAGGUAAUGGGUCGAUGCGGAUAACGCUUUCGUCGUUUCGCGUUAACUUCCCGUCGCAAUGUAAAGAACUGCGCAACGGGAAUGCCGUCCAGGAUGCCGCGCGAUCGUCGUGCACCGUCAAUAAGAGUGUCGUCGAGGUGAUUAUUGCUAAAAUUAAAUAGUAGUGUUUUCGUGAGUGCCAUAAAGAAACAUCAAACAGGAACAAGGGAGGAGGAGGACCUGGGAGGCAUCAGGCAACGGCGGAGCAACCACGAGGUCGACGUGGAAAACUCCGCUGUUGCGCAUCGCGUGUCGAUAAAAGCAGAUAAUCUUAUCCUGUUGCUGCAACAAGAUUCCUGUUUCUGCAGCCGUUGUAUUGUCUACGCAGGGUGUACUCUCGAAAGGUAAUGCACCAAAUUGGCAAUAUUUAAGAAGCUUCAGUCGUCAUCGCUGUUAAUUGUUCCAUGAGAUCUAAUACAUUGUGAGAGAACCUUGAAAUAACAACCAGUAGGUGACCGUGACGGUUGCGAAGCCACAAAAAUGUUUUAUUUACACGUGACUGACAAACAUGUCGAGUUAAAUAUCUGGUAGUUAUACGAGAUUAAAUAAGAAAGGAAAUGAAAGAAAACAAGGAAAGUGUAUUUUAUUUUAUAAUAACUUGCGUCGACAAGUUUCUAUUCAUGAUUGAUCCGAAGUUAAAUUAAAAUCCCACUCGCUGUUAAGAGAAUUCUUGAAGUUUCCUGAUAAUAUAUAUCUAAUUUAAUUGCUUCUAAAUUUGAUUUAAAGAACAUUAUCUUUUUAGUGUGUUUGUGCGAUAAGGUAUAUUAUGUCUAAUAUAGAAAUAAAGUUGCAAACGAAUUUUGUCACUUGACUUCAAAUAUGAUUUCAAUUCAUUCUAAAUCGGCUUUAAUCUUAACCACGAAAUAAAAGCUAAUAGUCAGCACAGACACUUUAACAUAUCGCAAAUUUAUUCAAAUAAUAAAAUUCAGUCUUACGUCUUUUUUGAAAGUACUUCAAAACAGGAAACUUAGGUUUACUUAAAUUUUCACACGGUCAAAGAUAAAAACAUUCAAACGGUCAAAGAUAAAAAUAUUAUUUCUUCUCUCGCUAAUGGACAAUGAGUUUUUAUCACACCCAGUAGAUUGGUUUUUCAUAUCGCCUAAUUAAGAUUUUCACGCUCUAGAAACUUGCCAGUAUUAAAUAAUUCGAAUUCAACUUGCUGACAAUACCUUUAUUAAUGAAUCCACAACGUUUCGAUCUUAGAUCUAGGUCUUUUUCAAGUGAGUCAAAUGCAACAUAAAAAUUAAAAUGGACCUUUAAUCAAGGAAACACUCCAGUCUGUGAGAUCUUUUAAAAUGUAGAAUUCGAGAUGUUGAAAUUGAAAUAAUGAUUGUAAGACUAUGUUUGCUAACAAGGGAAAGAACGUUUUCGUGUUUUUUAUAAUCUCAGUUUUUUUCCCGACGUUUAAACCAUCUUUUCCUUUCGUUCUUUGUGAAACUGUCACUCAUCCGUUCGAUUAUGAUAUACAUGUUUUUAACUUUUGAGAAUGUUUUCUCUGUAAUUUCUUGUA